rnacentral:rRNA from 1 species
AACCUCCGCAAUGUACGAAAGUGCGACGGGGGGAUCCCAAGUGUUAUGCUUUUUUGUAUAACUUUUCAUUAGUGUAAAAAGCUUUUAGAAUAAGAGCUGGGCAAGACCGGUGCCAGCCGCCGCGGUAACACCGGCAGCUCGAGUGGUAGCUGUUUUUAUUGGGCCUAAAGCGUUCGUAGCCGGUUUGAUAAGUCACUGGUGAAAUCCUGUAGCUUAACUGUGGGAAUUGCUGGUGAUACUGUUGAACUUGAGGUCGGGAGAGGUUAGCGGUACUCCCAGGGUAGAGGUGAAAUUCUGUAAUCCUGGGAGGACCGCCUGUUGCGAAGGCGUCUAACUGGAAUGGUUCUGACGGUGAGGGACGAAAGUUAGGGGCGCGAACCGGAUUAGAUACCCGGGUAGUCCUAACUGUAAACGAUGCGGACUUGGUGUUGGGGUGGCUUUGAGCUGCUCCAGUGCCGAAGGAAGCUGUUAAGUCCGCCGCCUGGGAAGUACGGUCGCAAGACUGAAACUUAAAGGAAUU